GACUACGAAGUUGAGUUUGACAGCUUAUGUGUGUGAAGUGGAGGUAAACAAGAAAAGAUAAAAAAGUAAUAAAUUUUCAAACGUACCGUUUUAUGCUAUUUUCGUUACUCAGUUUGAAAUGGUAAAUUGGAAUGAUUUUAAAAAUUUUUGACGAUACUAUUUUAGUUGAUAAAUAUAAAAUGAAUACAAUAAGUGAUGCUUAUUUUCCCGAGUAAAAAACAGCUAACUGGAUGUGUUCUACUCAUGGUGAGCCAUUAUCAAGUUAUACGUAUGGUGUGUUGGUGAACUUGCCGGAUGUUUUCAGCUUCGCUGCUGGAAUUAGCAGUUUGGUAGUCAAACGCCAACGGGUAUUCCAGGCUGGUUACCUCCUGAUAGUUUAAUUAGAUGAGGUAUACUAUGGCGGAUUUGGUGCAUUUUCCCCUUGUUUAUGUCAUCAUCUUCAAGUGCCGAACCGCGCACAAUGAAAAUCGCUGCAAAAACUACUUCGGAUAUAUAUCAGGCCACAAGAUUGAGAGAUCUGUUUCGGACGAGUUGGAAAACUCUCAAAUUUGGAACCAUUUCGUGGGAGUUUUCUCAGGUACAUGAGGUAAUGCCGAAAGUUGAAGAAUUGCUGAUGCUGGGAGAAAAUAAUUACUAAAAAAUAAAAACUAUAUCAGGAUACAAAAUGUUUCAAAAUAUUUUAUUACAUAAUAUAUUCAACAUAUCAACAAUUUCUCAAGCGAUAAUCAUGAGCAAACGGGCAGGAAUCUUGAGUCCACUUUAA